rnacentral:rRNA from 1 species
GAUGAACGCUGGCGGCGUGCCUAAUACAUGCAAGUCGAGCGAACAGACGAGGAGCUUGCUCCUCUGACGUUAGCGGCGGACGGGUGAGUAACACGUGGAUAACCUACCUAUAAGACUGGGAUAACUUCGGGAAACCGGAGCUAAUACCGGAUAAUAUAUUGAACCGCAUGGUUCAAUAGUGAAAGACGGUUUUGCUGUCACUUAUAGAUGGAUCCGCGCCGCAUUAGCUAGUUGGUAAGGUAACGGCUUACCAAGGCAACGAUGCGUAGCCGACCUGAGAGAGUGGUCGGCCACACUGGAACUGAGACACGGUCCAUACUCCUACGGGAGGCAGCAGUAGGGAAUCUUCCGCAAUGGGCGAAAGCUUGACGGAGCAACGCCGCGUGAGUGAUGAAGGUCUUCGGAUCGUAAAACUCUGUUAUUAGGGAAGAACAAAUGUGUAAGUAACUAUGCACGUCUUGACGGUACCUAAUCAGAAAGCCACGGCUAACUACGUG